AUUCCAAAUGAAGACCGAACUCCGACAAUCUUUUAUGCUCGUCCGCACAUGGCAGUUGGCGCAUAAAAUCCAAACUCCACACAACUUCACUCUCUGCAACAAUGGCGUCUCCAUCCACUUCCCUCUCUCUUUUCCUCUUCAUUUUCCUCCAUUUCUCUUCUUCCUUCUCCAAAACUUCCUCUCUCUUCUAUUCUUCCCUCCUCCUCCGCCCUCAAACUCCCCCAAUCGAUUCCCUCCGCCACUACCGCACCGCCUUCUUCACUCAGAUCCUCGACCACUUCAACUUCAAUCCUCAAAGCUACCAAUCCUUCCAGCAGAGGUAUCUCAUCAACGACACCUAUUGGGGCGGCGCUGCUGAGAACGCUCCGAUCUUUGUCUACACAGGCAACGAAGGUAAUAUCGAAUGGUUCGCACAGAACACCGGUUUUAUUCUCGAAUCCGCUCCAAAAUUCCGCGCGCUCGUCGUGUUCAUCGAGCAUAGGUUUUACGGGAAAUCGAUUCCGUUUGGGGGAGAUGAAGAUGUGGCUAAUAGGAAUUCGAGUACGCUUGGAUUCUUAAGCUCGACGCAGGCGCUGGCGGAUUAUGCAACUCUGAUAACUGAUUUGAAGAGGAAUUUGACGGCGAUUGAUUCGCCGGUUGUGGUGUUUGGAGGUUCCUAUGGAGGAAUGCUGGCAGCAUGGUUUAGAUUGAAAUACCCCCACGUCGCCAUUGGAGCUGUAGCAUCAUCGGCUCCCAUUCUCCAAUUUGAAAACAUUACUUCACCUUAUUCCUUCAACAAUAUCAUCACCCAAGAUUUCAAGAGUGAGAGUCAGAAUUGUUACAGAGUGAUUAAGGGGUCGUGGCAGAAGAUUGACAUGGUUGCAAACCAACCAGGAGGGCCCCAGUUGCUUCGCAAAUCUUUCAAAUUUUGCAAACCGGCAGACUCCCAAUCGAUUCAAAAUUGGCUCUACACUGCCAUUUUGUACACGGCAAUGACCGAUUAUCCCACGCCAUCUAACUUUUUAAACCCGUUGCCUGCUUACCCGGUAAAACAGAUGUGCAAGGCGAUUGACGAUCCCACGACUGGGAACGACACGUUUGCAAAGUUGUACGGUGCAGCUAACGUCUACUAUAACUACACUGGGACUGCCACGUGUUUUGAUCUGGACGAUGAUUCGGAUCCUCACGAUCUUGGAGAUUGGACUUGGCAGGCUUGUACGGAGUUAAUAUUGCCAACAGGGGCUAACACAGAAGAUAGCAUAUUUCCAGCUUCAACAUGGCACUAUGCAGAUCGAGUCAAUUACUGCAAAAGUUUAUUUGACGUGGAGCCUCGCCGUUUUUGGAUCACCACACACUUUGGCGGCUUUAAUAUUGAGAGAGUUUUGAAGAGGUUUGGAAGCAACAUAAUUUUCUUCAAUGGAUUGAGAGAUCCUUGGAGUGGUGGAGGGGUGCUGAAAAACAUAUCCUCAAGUAUAAUAGCUAUUGUGGCAAAAGAAGGAGCUCAUCAUGUAGACUUGAGAUUCUCAGAUCCCAAUGAUCCAAAAUGGUUGAAAGAUGUGAGAAAGCAGGAACUCAACAUCAUUCAGGAUUGGCUUACCCAGUAUUACCUGGAUUUGGCCCAAUAUUAAGCUCAUUGGGCCUAUUACACUGCAAACUUGGUGGAGAAGCAUCAGCCAUUGCACUUGAUUUGGAAGGAGAAAUUUCAACUAAUGUGGCUUCAAUAACCCGCUCCAGAGAUAGACUUGAUGGUGAGGGUGCUAGAUUAUACCCAAAUGUCAUAGUGCACUUAUGGAUCAAUAUUAUCAAUGACUUAAUUACGUUUCUGGCCCC